AUUGAACGCUGGCGGCAGGCCUAACACAUGCAAGUCGAGCGCGCGGCGGACGGGUGAGUAAUGUCUGGGAAACUGCCUGAUGUAGGGGGAUAACUACUCGAAACGGUAGCUCAUACCGCCUACCCUCAGAUUUGCCCCGGUGGGAUUAGCUAGUAGGUGGGGUAACGGCUCACCACGGCGACGCUCCCUAGCUGGUCUGAGAGGAUGACCAGCCACACUGGAACUGAGACACGGUCCAGACUCCUACGGUAGGCAGCAGUGGGGAAUAUUGCACAAUGGGGGCAAGCCUGAUGCAGCCAUGCCGCGUGUGUGAAGAAGGCCUUCGGGUUGUAAAGCACUUUCAGCGGGGAGGCGUUACCCGCAGAAGAAGCACCGGCUAACUCCGUGCCAGCAGCCGCGGUAAUUC
rnacentral:rRNA from 1 species